rnacentral:tRNA from 1 species
GUUGAGGUCGGUCGACAGGUUUCGUACCCUCCGAACUUAAAAUCCUGGGUCCGAAAGGGCGUGCCGGUUCGAUUCCGGCUCUCGGCA